rnacentral:rRNA from 1 species
ACGAGAGUGCCUUCGGGAGGCCGAAGACAGGUGCUGCAUGGCUGUCGUCAGCUCGUGUCGUGAGAUGUUGGGUUAAGUCCCGCAACGAGCGCAACCCUUGUCUUUAGUUGCCAUCAUUCAGUUGGGCACUCUAAAGAGACUGCCGGUGUCAAACCGGAGGAAGGUGGGGAUGACGUCAAGUCCUCAUGGCCUUUAUGACCAGGGCUACACACGUACUACAAUGGCCGGUACAAAGGGCAGCCACUUAGCGAUAAGGAGCCAAUCCCGUAAAGCCGGUCUCAGUCCGGAUUGGAGUCUGCAACUCGACUCCAUGAAGUUGGAAUCGCUAGUAAUCGCAGAUCAGCACGCUGCGGUGAAUACGUUCCCGGGCCUU